rnacentral:ncRNA from 1 species
GAGCUCGGGAGAUACCCGCAGCCUGACUGCGGGAACCGAAGGGGCAAGGGGCAGCUCUAAACUCUCAGGUAAAUGAACCGGGCGC